GAUGAACGCUGGCGGCGUGCCUAAUACAUGCAAGUCGAGCGAACAGACGAGGAGCUUGCUCCUCUGACGUUAGCGGCGGACGGGUGAGUAACACGUGGAUAACCUACCUAUAAGACUGGGAUAAUUUCGGGAAACCGGAUCUAAUACUGGAUAAUAUAUUGAACCGCAUGGUUCAAUAGUGAAAGACGGUUUUGCUGUCACUUAUAGAUGGAUCCGCGCCGCAUUAGCUAGUUGGUAAGGUAACGGCUUACCAAGGCAACGAUGCGUAGCCGACCUGAGAGGGUGAUCGGCCACACUGGAAGUGAGACAGGGUCCAGAGUCCUACGGGAGGCAGCAGUAGGGAAUCGUCCGCAAUGGGCGAAAACUUGACGGAGCAAGGCCGAGUGAGUGAUGAAGGUCUUCGGAUCGUAAAACUCUGUUAUUAGGGAAGAACAAAUGUGUAAGUAACUAUGCACGUAUUGACGGUACCUAAUCAAAAAGCCACGGCUAACUACGUG
rnacentral:rRNA from 1 species